GACCCAUGAUUUUUCUUUGACCGAUUGCCAGACCGCAAAAUAUAACGUGACGCAGUCCAAGAAUCGAGGGGUGCAGGGCAGAAGCGAGCCAUGGCCUCCUCUCCUCUAUCCGCGGCGGCGGCGGCGGCGGCGACCACGACGGCCACAUCUCCGUAUCUCCCCCCUUCUUUUCACCGACACCGUGGCGGCGGCCGCCCGAGGGGCUUCAUCCCCGCCCGCCGCCUAGCCAGCAGCCAACGACGCCCUUCCCCCUUAGUCCACUCUGGUUGUCGCCUCUCCCUCCUUCCCCCACAACGGCGAGGUAUACAUUUUCGAGCAAAGGAAAAGCAAUUCAUCACCACACAACCAUGUGGCAUUUCAAAGCAAUAUAUUGAUGAGAUUGAUGGAAGAGUUGUUGAAGGGCUAUCUCGAGGAUAUCCUGGAUGUGUUUCUUGUUUCCAAGGACACAAUCGAUCAAGGAGUUAUCGUACAAGAUACACACCUGGUGUCUUUCUGGACAAAUCAGCUUGUCUGUUUCAGAAGCACUUAGUUGGGGGUAGAUCAGUGAAACUAGCUCAUAUUUUGCAUGCUUUAGGUCCUGAGGAACCACAUGUAGCAAGUACCUUGUCAGAUACAGUCCUUGAAAAAUCAGGUUCUACUUUCUGGGACCCAGAGGCGGAGAAUGCCGAACUAGAAGGAUUUCUGAAUGCUCCACUUCCUUCUCAUCCAAAACUGCACCGAGGGCAACUGAAAAAUGGAUUGCGAUAUAUUAUAUUACCAAAUAAAGUUCCAGCGAACAGGUUUGAGGCACAUAUGGAAGUUCAUGUUGGAUCAAUUGAUGAGGAAGAAGAUGAGCAGGGGAUCGCACAUAUGAUUGAGCAUGUUGCAUUUCUUGGAAGUAAAAAGCGUGAGAAACUUCUUGGUACAGGUGCAAGGUCUAAUGCAUAUACCGACUUCCACCACACGGUGUUUCACAUUCAUUCUCCAACUAGUACAAAGGACUCUGAUGCAGAUUUAGUUCCAUGUGUAUUGGAUGCACUUAAUGAGAUUGCUUUUCACCCAAAGUUUCUUCCAUCUCGUGUGGAGAAGGAGAGAAGGGCAAUUCUCUCAGAAUUGCAAAUGAUGAACACAAUAGAGUAUCGUAUUGAUUGUCAGUUGCUACAACAUUUGCAUUCAGAAAACAAACUGAGCAAAAGAUUCCCAAUUGGACUGGAAGAGCAAAUCAAGAAAUGGGACCCAGAGAAAAUCCAGAAAUUUCAUGAACGCUGGUAUUUUCCUGCAAAUGCCACACUAUACUUAGUGGGGGAUAUUGAUGACAUUCCUAAGACAGAGGCACAGAUUGAGUUUGUUUUUGGAAAGACUCUUGCAAAGAGUGAAAUGGCUAACAUUCAUAGUCCCAGUACAUUUGGUGCAAUGGCAAAUUUCCUUGUUCCAAAGCUGCCAGGAGGUCUAGCUGGUAGUCUGUCUAAUGAGAGAUCUUCUAUCUCGUUUGAUCAACCACAGUUUACAAGAAGGGAGAGGCAGGCUGUCAGGCCUCCUGUAGAACAUGAGUGGUCAUUGCCAGGAUUAGAUCACAAUACUAAGCCUCCGGAAAUAUUCCAGCAUGAGUUGAUUCAAAAUUUUUCAUUCAACAUGUUCUGCAAGAUUCCUGUGAGCCAAGUUUGCACAUAUGGAGACCUGCGUAAUGUCUUGAUGAAAAGAAUAUUUUUGACAGCUUUACACUUUCGGAUUAACACUAGAUAUAAGAGUUCAAAUCCUCCUUUUACGUCGAUCGAGUUAGAUCAUAGUGAUUCUGGAAGAGAGGGAUGCACUGUUACCACUCUCACUGUAACAGCAGAACCCAAAAACUGGCAGAGUGCUGUUAAAGUUGCUGUACAAGAGGUUCGAAGACUUAAGGAAUUUGGUGUAACAAAAGGAGAACUAACUCGCUACAUGGAUGCUUUGUUGAAAGAUAGUGAACAAUUGGCUGCAAUGGUUGAUAGUGUCCCAUCUGUUGACAACCUAGAAUUUAUUAUGGAAAGUGAUGCUCUUGGUCAUACCAUCAUGGAUCAGAGACAGGGGCAUGAGAGUUUGGUCACAGUUGCUGAAACAGUCACUCUUGAAGAAGUUAACUCCAUAGGUGCAGAAGUGUUGGAGUUCAUUUCGGACUUUGGAAAACCCACUGCACCGCUUCCUGCAGCCAUCGUUGUAUGUGUUCCGAGCAAAGUACAUAUCGAAGGAGUGGGAGAAACCGAGUUUAAAAUCUAUCCACAUGAAAUAACUGAUUCUAUAAUAGUGGGUUUGAAGGAACCCAUACAUGCCGAACCUGAGCUUGAGGUGCCAAAAGAACUUAUAAGCCAGGCAGUGCUGGAGGAGUUGAGGGUGCAACGAAGACCCUCUUUUGUUCCCAUGUCAAAGGAAGGCAAUGGAACAAAACUAUUUGACAAGGAAACUGGCAUAACACAGUGUUGUCUUUCAAAUGGGAUUCCUGUAAACUACAAGAUAACAGAAAAUGAAGCUAGGUGCGGUGUCAUGCGCCUCAUUGUGCGUGGUGGAAGAGCAACUGAAACUUCUGUAUCAAAAGGAGCUGUUGUAGUGGGUGUCCGAACUCUGAGUGAAGGUGGAUGUGUCGGUAAUUUUUCCAGGGAACAGGUAGAACUUUUUUGUGUUAAUCACCUAAUAAACUGCUCCCUGGAGUCCACUGAGGAAUUCAUUGCUAUGGAAUUCCGAUUUACUUUAAGAGAUAAUGGAAUGCGUGCUGCUUUCCAACUUCUUCAUAUGGUACUUGAGCAUAGUGUGUGGCUAGAAGAUGCAUUUGAUAGAGCCAGGCAGCUAUAUCUAUCAUAUUACCGUUCCAUUCCAAAAAGCUUGGAGCGCUCUACUGCUUUCAAACUUAUGCUUGCAAUGCUAAACGGUGACGAGAGAUUUGUUGAGCCAAUGCCAGAGUCUUUGCAAAAUUUAACACUUCAAUCAGUAAAAGAUGCUGUAAUGAAGCAGUUUGUUGCUGACAAUAUGGAGGUUAGCAUUGUUGGGGAUUUUACUGAGGAAGACAUUGAAGCUUGUAUUCUUGAUUAUCUGGGAACAGUUAGCACUGCAAAAAGUCCUAACAUUGAGCAGUCUUUUGAACCAAUUAUGUUCCGACCUUUCCCAUCCGAUAUUCAUUUCCAACAAGUGUUCCUGAAAGACACUGAUGAGAGAGCAUGUGCAUAUAUUGCGGGCCCAGCCGCAAGCCGUUGGGGAUUCACUGCUGAAGGAAGAGAUCUUUUUUAUUUGAUUAAUGCAUCAAAUAUGGAUGAUGAAAUGUCCAACUCAGAUAAAAUAAUUCACUUGGAAGAGAAAAAUGUUGAAAAGAAUGGUAAAAAAGGUAUUCGCAGUCAUCCGCUAUUCUUCAGCAUAACCUUGGGGCUGUUAGCUGAGAUCAUAAAUUCAAGGCUCUUCACAACAGUCAGGGAUUCUCUGGGAUUAACAUAUGAUGUAUCAUUUGAACUAAGCCUUUUUGAUUGGCUGAAUCUUGGGUGGUAUGUUAUAUCGGUGACAUCGACUCCAAGCAAGGUAUAUAAAGCUGUUGAUGCAUGCAAGAAUGUUCUCAGGGGUUUACACAGUAACAAGAUUGCUCAGAGGGAGCUGGAUCGGGCAAAGAGGACUCUGUUGAUGAGACAUGAGGCUGAAACUAAGUCAAAUGCUUACUGGUUAGGAUUGAUGGCCCACCUUCAAUCUUCUUCCAUUCCAAGGAAGGACAUCUCAUGCAUCAAAGACUUAACUUCCUUAUACGAAGCUGCAAUGAUUGAGGACAUAUAUGUUGCUUAUGAACAUUUGAAAGUAGAUGAUACUUCCUUGUUUUGUUGUAUUGGAGUCGCUGGUGCCCAGGCAGGCGAAGAUAUUUCUGAUUUAGGAGAUGAGGAGCUAGAUGUUGGUCACCAUGGAAUGGCUUCUUCUGGCCGUGGUUUGUCAACAAUGACGCGUCCAACAACCUGAUCUUCCUUGAGUGUUCCUAUUGGCCUGAAAUCUUAGUCAUGUUGGAGUUCAUGGGUCAAAGUGGAAGAACCCUGGGAUGCUCCUUGGAGCGCCGUUCUUCAUGCAACAUUGUAACCUCAUACAGAUCAGUCACCGGCGGGGAUGGAUACCAAACAAGAAAAAAAAUUCUCUGAAUUUUAAACAGCGCAACCACUGGAUUUGCUGUAGCUCUGAUUCCAAACCCUCUGAUCAACCUCGAACUCGAUUUCGUACAGUCUGAACCGACCCCCUUCCCAAAUAAGUGCUGAGAGCUGUGCGGCUGACCGCGAGAUGGCAUCCGUUGGUUUGGGUGCUCUCGGGGCCAAACCUGAAAUAUGCUUGGCUAUGCUAUCACUACAGGUUCGAUCUAUCAAGUGAACGACAACGUGGAAGAGGUUCAAAAGACGCGAGAAAACAAAAAAGAAAGCCCUUGUAGCUAAGAAAAUGAUACAUUUAUUUCAACUGGUAAAAGAUUGAGUAAGAUUCCUUAUACAUAUGUUUUAGGAUUCGGUAUAAACAUUUGUGCCAUACUGAACCUAUCUAUAAAUAUAUAAUUUUGCUCAUUUUA